rnacentral:lncRNA from 1 species
UUGGCUUCAAUGUUAAUGUUGUUGCUUAAAACUAGACGGUGGAAAUCAGCAUCGGACUCAGCUACAGCGACCGAAACGGCGUCCCCUCGGUGGUAACUGAGGAUUGGUUUAGGGGAGUCUUGGGGCCAAAUGAUGUUUCCUGCUAAAGGUGGAAAGUGGUUGAGGGUAAGAGACAACGAGGUUUUGAGCUUUGGAAGUAUAAAAUCGAAGGAGGAGGUAUUUUUUGAGGAAGGCAAUAUUUCGUAGAAGUAAAGGCAUUGGACAGGUGGAAACUUUAACCAAAGUAUGUCGAAGAAAGUUAGAGGAAGGGAAAACUCUUGAUCUGCAUGUUGUGGAGCAACUCUGCAAAUUUCAACUAAUUUCGUUGAUUUGUUUGGGUCUGCCAUUGCUGUUGGGGGAUGGAUGGUGUAAAGCUUGAUGAAUCGUUUAAUAUAUAUAAUAAAAGAAACCUGUUUUAUUUUUAUUAAUAAAAAAAAAUGUUUUAUAAUAAAUAAAGAGUUACAAUAUUCUCUACCACAAGUCCCACCCAAUUUCUUUGAUAAGUAUUGUUAGAGGGACUAAAUUUAUAGACUAAAUUUUAGAAACUAAAAGACAUGGAAGUUGAUGAUUGAUUUAUUACUUAAACGUUGAUAAAUGUGUUUAUUUCUAUUGAUAACACAUUAUUUAGUUUGCAAAUUUAGUCUCCUCACGUUACUUAUUCUUUGAGUGUCAUGAGUCAUGAUAUAAUAUUAUUUUUUCAAAAAUAAAAAAAAAAGGAUAAAAUUGGACAAUGUUGUAUGUGGCACAACUGAAACAACACGUUCAUAUUUCAUCUUUGUGUUUUUUAUAGAAAACUUUAACGAAAAAUCAUAGUCCUGUUCACAACAAAAAAUUACAUUUUUACACUAAAUCUUGAUAUUAUUCACUUUAACCUUUAUUUUGUCCUUAUCGUUAAACUCAAAGAUUUUCAAGCUUUUUUCAUUAGUUUUGAUGUUAAAUUUCAUAUAAUAUCUUUAAAAUAUUUUAAUUUCAUAUAUUUAUUUAUUAUUUUGUUCAACUUCAAUAACCGUUAGUUAAUCUGUUAAUUAACAAUUAAAAUAUGAUGUGGAAAGCGCAGCCUACAUUUUGCAAGUUGUGGAGCAACUCUGCAAAUUUCAACUAAUUUGAUUGCAAAUUUCAACUAAUUUGAUUGAUUUAUUUGGGUCUGCCAUUGCUGUUAGGGGAUGGAUGGUGUGGCCCUCGCCGGAUCUUCCAAUCACAUUCGUUCAUCGUAUAUCAUGCGGUCAGAAAUUAUUGUAAAUUUUUUUAUUUAAAAUUGAAAAUGAACAGUACCUGAUAAAAACUGAUCACAUGAUGUACAAUGAACGGAUGUGAUUCAACGAGAAUCCUUUCUCGGUGUAAAGCUUGAUGGAUCGUCUAAUAUAUAUACUAGCAUUUACCUACACAUUUUGUAUGUAUGAACAUAUUUUUUUUAAAUGAGAAGGAGAGAGGGAGAGAGAGAGAGAGAGAACGUGGGGAGGGGGAGUAGAAGGUUUUUGUUUUGGGUUUUUUUUUUUAAAUGUUGGAGGUAUUUUAAUAUCAUCUGUGAAAUUACAUUAUUGGCUAUCGUUUUUUUUUGUGUGUGAUAGAAGACUAAAUUAUAUUUUCAUCAUCUUUUAAUUGACAAAGAGGAUUUCAUUAAUUAGUAAAUAUAUAUAUAACCUAUUUUUAUUUUUAUUAAUAAAAAAUGUUUUAUAAUCAAUAAACAGUUGAAACAUUGUCUAUCACAAGUCACACCCAACUUCUCUCAGUGUCAUGAGAUAUGAUAUAGUACUAUUUAAAAAAAAAACGUAAACAUGGUUUAAAUAGGACAGUGUUGUAUAUGGCACAACUGAAACAACACGUUCAUAUUUCAUCUCUGCGUUUUUAUCACAUACUGUAUUUGAAUUGUUUUUCAAUCCAACGCAUAAUUUGUAUUUAUGUGCUUCAUAUGCGUUUGGAGUUUGCUUCUAAAAAUAUAGCUAUACGUACUGCUCACGUCAAUUUCACGUGCCAUUCAUUUGAUAAGAAAUAAAAAGAAGGAUCAAGAAUUCGAGUGGCUAUUUAAAAAUUGCCUUAUGAAUUAAAAAUAUUUAAAUAAUGAAAAGAAAAAAAAGAAGAUGGGUGGGUGAUCUCUUCAUCCCGUGCAUAACCAUUUUAAAAUUAGAUUUUUAAAAUGAAACAAGUUCAUGUUUCAUUUUCUUUUGUGUUUAAUUGAAAUAAAAAGGUUUACAAUUUUUUAAUACUGUGGGCCCCACCCCACUCCAUCGCACCCUUAUUCCCCACUCAUCCGUCUCUCCCACUAUUUUUUCAACUACUGCUGCAAUUAAAAAUUUAUCAGAUUUAAUCUUCGACACUUCGCUGUUAUUGUUCUUGCCGUUGCAGAUCGGAGCCUGCAAAUCCUAGAAUUCGAAACUCACAGUAUAUGAAGUUCAUUCAUGAAAUCGUAAAAGAUUGAUGGGGAAGCCAUCGAAUCCAUGGAUGGGAUGCAGAAGAACAAAUGGUUGUUGCUGGUUUUCGCACUGUUACUGCUGCAAUAAAGAAUUUAUCAGAUUUAAUUAGUUUAUUAUUAUUCUUGUUGUUUCCACAACCAUGGUUUUCUUCAUAUGAACUGAGUUUGAUUUGUGCAGGCGAACACUAGAAGACGUUUCGGCGAUGGAAGUGAUAGAAUUGCCGACAUAGUCCACUCGCCGCUGGUCUAGCCGUCGGGAUUGGCUGGUGGCGAAUUUGAAGCUCGUGGAUUUGUUUUUAUUUUAUCUUUUGCUUUAUUUCAGUGGGGAAGGAGGAGGAAGGAGGAAAGAGGGAAGAAUGGGGGAAGACGGAUGAGUGGGGAACAAGGGUGAGAACAUGGGUUGGUAGAGUGGGGCCCAAUAUUGAAUUUUCUUAAUAUGUUAUGUUUAGUUUUAAAUUUUAAGGUAAAUCUCUGUUUACUACUCUCAUGUUUGGUGGUAUUCAACAUUUAGUACAUCAAGUUUUUUUUGUCCCAGAGUCAUACCUAAAGUGUAAAUUUUGGAACAAUAUCAUACAUCCAUUAGUUAAACUGUUAAAUUUUCCGUUAACUGUGACGUGGCGCUCACAUGGAUAAUGAUUGGGGCCACGUUGAUUUUAUUUUUAAUUUUUAGAGAAGGGUUCAAAAUAAGAUUUCCCACCCAAAUUUUUUUUCCCACAACCAUGUCUUACAUUGUUUCCCGCCAAAAUUUUUUGAAAAAAAAAAAGGGGAAAAAACCACAACUUUCUAUUCAAAAUCUGCAAGUUCAAUUCCUAACAAACUUUGAAUUCUAAAUCUGCAAAUUCAUCAUUUAAACUACCAACAAAGUUCAAUUGUCAACAACUUUCAAUUCACAACAAAGUUCAAUAUACACCCUAUAAUUCACACAAAAGUAUCAAAGGACCACAACUUUUACAACUAAUGGGUCAAGGUGUUCUUCCAAAACCACUAAAGAUCUGUCCAAAAAAUGUCCAAAACACUAAUGGGUCAACUUUAACAACUAAUUGAACUCUGUCCAAAACACUAAAGAUCUAUCGGAAAGUUGUUUCCAAAAAAACUAAGGGCAAAUUCAACUAUAACAAAAUGAACCCUUAAACAACCUAAAGCAUUAAAGUAGCAUCUUGGAACAUUCCUACUCCUUUUCUGACCUUUUGCAGUAGACUUUGAAGUGGUUUGAGAGGCUUGAGUUGGUUGAGAUAAAGGUUGUUGAGCUUCCUGAGUGCAUGGUUGCAAUGACUUAGUGGGUUGUGAUGCCUUUGAUGUUGAUGCCUAAAGAAUGAACUCAUAUAGCAUUAACACUGACAUAUACUACACUUCACAAAUAACAAAUUCACUUAAGAAAUGAAAAAUCAACAAAAAAUAUCAAAAUUAUACCUCAUUUUUCUUGUUUUUUUCUUUCUUUUCUAGCAGCUGGAAGAAGAUGAGUGGUAGGGCAUCUGGCCUUGUUGUGUCCCGAGGCCUUGCAAACACUACACUUCACACUUUUUUGCCAUCUCUUGCUUAACUUGAAUUCAUUUUCAUCACCCUCCUUAUGUUUCCUCUUUUUUGGUCUCCCCGAUUACCUUUUAAAAGUUGGAGGAAGAAUGCAUUUGUUUUCAGAUGGCUCCCAAAAUUUCAUGCAUUGGACUGGUUGAAUCAAGUUUUUGUAAGCUUCAAAGUAUUUCUCCUUUUUGUACCAAGAGGAAACAAAUUCCUCAGGCUGUCUCCUUGCAUAAUAGAUAGUCGAGCAACUAUGUAUGCAAGGAAAGCCUGUCAAAUCCCAUCUUCUACAUGAGCAAGUGCACCCAUUCAAAUCCACCACAAAUAUAUUGCCUCUACCUUCAUCCACUUCAAAAUUUUCUUCUCCAGACCAUAUAGCUAUAGUGUGUGAGCUUUUCAAUUUGUACUCCUCCAACUUCUUCUAGAUUUUUGGGCAGAUAACUCCUUUAUCCUUCCUCAUUGCAUCUCUUCUCAACCAUAUCCUCUUAAUCAAUAAAACUUUUAUAGUUUCCUGCACGGUAAUAAUAGACUUGUCCCUAGACGUUGAAGCUCUCACAGAGGUUGUUUAAGAGAACGUCACACUGAGUGUGUGUCUCAAAGUGUGACCUACUUCAAUGCAAGGCUGGCCACUUCUCCAACCAUUUAUAAGCUUCUUCAUUCAGCCUAUUCACAUCAGCCAUACUUUCUCUAAAAUCAACGAUAGUUAUUGCCUUGACAGUAUUCCAUAAGGCAUCCUUUAAUUAUUUCCCUUUAAACCCAUAUGCCUUAUAGUUGGUGUAUAAGUGCCUAACAUAGAACCGAUGAUUACAAUUAGGCAGCACAUUCUCAAAAGCUGGUAUUAAACCCUUUUGUUUGUCAGAAAUGAAAGUCCAAGCAUGCUGGUUCACAAUUCCUAAGUCAGCAACUAGUAGUUCUAGAAACCAAACCCAAAUGUCUUUGUUCUCGAGCUCUAAUAUAGCAUAUGCAAUAACCCAAGUUUGGUUAUUUGCAUCCAUUCCCACUGCUUACAGUAACUGGCCCUUGAAAACUCCCUUUAAGUGACAACCAUCCAACCCUACAAACUGCCUUCAUCCAUUCUUAAAUCCAUUUUUGCAAGGCCCCAAACAAAUAUAAAUCCUCUGAAAUAUCACAUGAGCAUCAUCAUAGGGCAGCACCUUCAUCUGAACUGUACUACCAAGGUUUGUCCUCCUAAGCUCAUCACAGUACUCCUACAACUUUGUGUACUGAUCCAUAUUACUCUCCUCAAGGAUUUUCAAACAUUGUGCUCUCACUCUAUAGGCUGUCUUGAGGUAGAUCUCAACCAUUCUUUCCUCAUAACUGUCUCCAUAAAUGUAGUGAUGGGCAUGCUUAGGUUGAGUCUGAACUUGUCCACAUACCUCUUCACAAGCCAUGCCACUUUGUAGUUAGGAUUUUCCCUCCAAAUCUUCGGACAUUCAUGUUUCCCAACAUAGGUUUUCACUUGCAUUGAAUCUUCAUUGUACAUCCUAGAAGCAUACAAUUUCCAUGGACAGUUUUUCUCACACCUUGCACUAAUCUUCCAUUUCUCAUUCCUUUUUAGCUUAAUAGAAGAUGCACCAUGCUUAAUGGAGUGAGACCAUACUGCAUCUAUUAACUAUGCAGCAUCUCUGAACUUCAAUCCCUUUUCAAACUUUGGAUCAUCCCUGUUGGUUUCUUCUUUAAAUUCAAGGUAGUUGACCUUCUCAUCACAUUCUGAACCUGAAUGGUCAACACUUUGCAUACCAUCUAAGUCUUGUCUCUCAUCAUCAAAAGGAACGUCUUCUACAUCCCUUGCAUCAAUAACGUUGUCUAGAUAUUAGUUCCCAACCUCUUCACCCAUUUCAGCAUCUCCAACAACACUUUCUACAGUCGUAUCAUCUACUGCACGACGAUCAUUAUCUUUUAAACUAUAGUCAUUAUCCACAAACUCACUAUUUGUAGUGUCAUCAUCUGCAUUUACUGCCACAAACAAUGCAUAUUUGUUAAAAACCUAAACUUUGCAAGAAUAAUUGAAUACUGAAAUUAAAAUUGUAAAACUAAAUGUUUCAAAUUUUUUACCUUUAUUAGCUUCUACUUCGGUCCCAUCUUCAGUCUUAUUAACUUCUUAAGCUUCGUGACCUUUUUCAUCACCUUCAUUAUCAACAUUGAGAGGACCAUUUUCAGCCUCAUCUCCACUUCCUUGUCCUCCCUCAGUUGUUUCAGCCUCAUGUUCAUCAUCACCAUUGUAGGCUAUGUCAUUCAAAAGACAUAGCUAUUUUUCUAAGUCAUCUGCACCCCCUUUUGCUCUACCCUUCUUCAGUUUUGAUCCACUUCCCUUUGUAAUCAAAAUCGCCACCCUUGAUUCCUCAUUAUCUUCUAUAAUAACACCUUUUUUUUUAAUAUGGCACUCUCAUCUAGAUUCAUCAAAAGCUUAGGUUUCAAGGCAGCUUGCUUCGGACUUAGAUGUUCUAGGUACAUUUCUAUUUCCCUAACCCCUGGAACAUACUUGCACAUUUCAGCCACAUCUUGGUCAUGUUCAAUAAGCCUUAAUCCCUCCCAAUAAGACAUCCCAGGAAUCCUAUAGUGAUACAACAUAAACCCAUCAUAUCCUAACUCCUUAACCAUUUCAUCAAUCUCGAAAAAAGACAUGAAGUCUUUGUCUACGUAAUCAAAUCAAGCCUCAAAUCCUCCCGUAUAUGCACUUUCAAACCACUUCCCACCGUGGUUAAUUUUAAGGCUAAAUAAUUCGGGCAUGCCUGCAAAGUCAAUGAGAAAGGUGAAACAACAUAAAAUCCUAGAGGCACAUGGGGAAAAAGGUGAAAACACUAGUAUGACCAUGAGGAAAAAAGGUGAAAACAAAACUAUGGGGACCAUGAAUACUGUUCCACCUUUUUUCCUGAAACCAUAGAAAAAAGGUGAAAACAAAACCAUGUGGACCACGAUUGAAGACAAAACCACAUGCACAACCCAUUACAAAACACAAUUCCAGAAACCAUAGAAAGAAAAAAAAGGGAUUGGAACUCACAUAUCCCUAAUCCCUAAAAUUCAAAAUUGAAAAAUCGAAAAACCUAAACCCCAUAUUAUCUACACUUUGAAAAAGGUAGGUUACUUACAAUAAAGUGGUGUUUCACCCACUUCAAUCCUCAUUUUAUCCCACCUCAUCACUAGUGAUGGCUUCACAACAAUCUUUCCCAAAAACGUGUGCACAAUGUACGACAUUGUGCGAGGUGGAGCGACGGUGAGGUCGAGUGACGGCCCGUUGGUAGGGUUUCAGACAAAGAUGGGGGGUCGCGAUUUUCUGGAGGAGUUGAGGGGUCGCGAAUUUUGAAUUUUGAAAUAUUUUUUUUUUUACUGAAACCCCUUCUCUAAAAAAAUGUAUAUAUCCACGUGGACCCACGUGGCGCCCAAUCAUUGUCCACGUUGGUGCCAUAUCACAGUUAAAAGAAGACUUAAUAGUUUGACUAACGGAUGUAUAAGACUGUCCCAAAAUUUACACUUUAGGUAUGACUCUGGGACGAAACAAACUUGAUGUACUAAAUGUUGAAAACCACAAAAUAUGAUGGUAGUAAACAGAGAUUUACCCUAAAUUUUAAAUAUGUUUCAAAAUUAAAAUAAAUAAAUAAAUUAAAAAGUUAACUUUAGUUAGUUAGUGAGACACAUAUCAAGUUAUAAGUUGGGUGGUGAGCAUAUUCUAUAAUUAAGAGUGGUCAGCAAAAAUGAUCAUUUUUUAUGAAGUGCAAAUAUCUUCUUAUUUACACUACACAAAAUAUAAAGAAAUUUAAUAUAUAAAGAAGAAUUGUAGUGUAGAAUUUCAAUUUUCCAAAUAGUAUCGUGUAAGCUCACUCACGUGUUGAUUUUAAUAUGAACUUAUGUUUUUUUACGUCAUUCAACAUGCGUUGUUUAUGUCUUAAGCUUAAAUGACCCCACAUAUGAGGGGUGUGUUUGGAGGGGUGCGUUUAGAGUGAUAACAUUAUUGAAUUAAAUAAUUAGUUGUUAUGGAGAAAUGAAUCAAAGAAGAUCAGAUCGGCAUGAAAAUGUAUAAAUAUAAUUACUUUCUGCCACUUUAGUAAAAUGUAAUUUUUAAAAAUAUUUGAUAUAUUGGAGAUGGAAACAAACAAUUUAUUAAACAUUAAUUGCAUUACAUUCGCAUUAUGUGAUAUGCUUCUAAAAGGAUAAUGCUAGAAAGACUAAAAUUGUAGAAAAAUUUUAUAAAGUAAAUGAUGUGUCAUAGUAUGAAUGAUCACGUUUAUUAAAGACAAUCUGCGGCUUUCGUCUUUUCCAGGCUGAGGGUAUUAUCCGAUAUCCGACGGGAUAGUUUCAAAAACAUGGCUUCAAAGGUCUUCGAUUCCUUUAGCAAAUAAAGAAGCAAAAACCUCCAUACAUUGUUUUUUCAAAACAACCCCAAUCUCGAUACUACCAUCGCCAUCUUUGCUAUCUGAGAAAGAGAUAGCCCCGGUCCUAUCAAUCGUAACGACUUCGCUCUUCCUUGGCCUUCCCCAUCCAAAAUCAGUAUCAUAAAUCCUAAACCGGUGUGAACCAGCAACAGAAAAAAAGUUUAUCGGCUUGUGGUUGCAUAAUUUCCAUCCAAGCCUCCGCCCCAUUCAGAAGUCGAUUAUUUAAACCUUCUAGGGCUUCACUGAUUGCAUUUACAGCCAUAACCAGCCCGUCUUCUCCAAGUAUGCCUUCGCUUUCUGCAACUGCUAUGCGUGGGGCUAUGCAGUUUCCAAAAUAGUUUUCAGAUAUUUGUGGGUCCAAUCGAGACCUACAAUCCACACUAAAAAUCAAUCGUAUUUUUUCAGAUUUGAAUUCCUCUGCCUUGACUAAGCAAAUCCAUGCAUACGCAGUUGCGACGCAAAACGUGGACAAAUGAACCGAUUGAUGUUGUUGUUUCUUCUCUUUCACCAACUGCCUUAUUGCUUCAAUUUUGGUUGGUGUGAACUGGAAGCACCCUCGAACCGAGUCUGGUUGUGGUGCUUUAAAUUGGAAAGGCAUCAAGCUACGAUUGUUGGGUCCCUCCAAAUCCAUAUUUAGAAAGUGGUUCGAAUAAAUUAAGUCGAUCCUGGUCGGGUCAGGGAUGACCCUUCGGUCGUAAAAUGGUUUGAGCUGGUCUGGUACCAAAUCGGAUUCGUGUUUACAUAUGUAAGCCCAUGAUUUCACAAACAUGGUUGACAUCUUGCCGUCUAGGGCAGCAUGGUGCACGGAUGUUCCAAUAGAAAAGCCGUUGUUUGGGAAGAGAGUGAUUUGCAACGCAAGUGCUGCGGCUUUUUCGUGACAAACUUCCAAUCGGGGCACGAGAGGAUGGUAUUCUUUGGCUUCAAUGUUAAAGCUGUUGCUUGAAACUAGGUGGUGGAAAUCAGCAUCGGACUCAGCUACAGUGACCGAAACGGCGUCCCCUCGGAGGUAACUGAGGAUUGGUUUAGGGGAGUCUUGGGGCCAAGUGAUGUUUCCUGCUAAAGGUGGAAAGUGGUGGAGGGUAAGAGAUAACGAUGUUUUGAGCUUUGGAAGUAUAGAAUCGAAG